rnacentral:lncRNA from 1 species
GUGAGCUGGGGAGCUGGGUGAACGAGGAAGCCCUCGCUCUCUGGGGCAGAGAUGGGGGUCACAGGAUGCAGCCAGCUCUCUCCCACGGGACACCCGGUGUGGGUGGACUUGGGGGUUGAAACGGUGGGGCAAACCUCAGACCCAUCCUCAAAAGGGGCCUGGCCCCUGGGCCCCCUUUGCCGGGACCCCGUCGUUAGGGACGCUGGCUCCUUCCCUGUCCCAGGGGAGGGUCGAUCACUCAGAAAUGGUGUCCCUGGGGCAGGAGGAGGUGGCGUUCCCGUCCUGGUGCUGGUGGAGCCCUCAGAGCCUUGGGUCUGCGGGUCACUGUGGUGACGGCCCCAAGGGCAGCUGGCACCUCCUAGGCUGCCCCUGGGACCCCAGGCCUCUGACCCGGCCCCUCCUCUCUUGCAGUUCAUGGCCUCCCACGGGAACGACGCCGCGAGAGCCAGGUUUGAGUCCAAAGUACCCUCCUUCUACUACCGGCCCACGCCCUCCGACUGCCAGCUCCUUCGAGAGCAGUGGAUCCGGGCCAAGUACGAGCGACAGGAGUUCAUCUACCCGGAGAAGCAGGAGCCCUACUCGGCAG